AGAGUUUGAUCCUGGCUCAGAACGAACGCUGGCGGCGUGGAUAAGACAUGCAAGUCGAACGAGGUUAUGAGAGUGGGUAACUACAUUCAUAACUUAGUGGCAAACGGGUGAGUAACACGUGGGUAAUUUACCUCAAAGAUCGGGAUAGCUCCUCGAAAGGGGAAUUAAUACCGGAUGUGGCUGUUGAAUGCAAAUUCGACUACUAAAGGCGGGGAUCCUUCGGGACCUGCCACUUUGAGAUAAGCCCGCGGCCUAUCAGCUUGUUGGCGGAGUAAAAGCCCACCAAGGCUUACGGGUAGCUGGCCUGAGAGGGUGGUCAGCCACACUGGGACUGAGACACGGCCCAGACACCUACGGGUGGCAGCAGUCGAGAAUCUUUCGCAAUGGGGGAAACCCUGACGGAGCGACGCCGCGUGAAGGAUGAAGGUCUUCGGAUUGUAAACUUCUGUCACCUGGGAAUAAUGGUAUUCCGGUAAACAAUCGGGGUAUUUGACUGUACCAGGAGAGGAGGCCACGGCUAACUCUGUGCCAGCAGCCGCGGUAAUACAGAGGUGGCAAGCGUUGUUCGGAUUUACUGGGCGUAAAGAGCACGUAGGCGGCGCAGUAAGUCGGAUGUGAAAGCCCACGGCUCAACCAUGGAACUGCAUUCGAAACUACUGUGCUAGAGGUGAGUAGGGGAAAGUGGAAUUCUCGGUGUAGCGGUGAAAUGCGUAGAUAUCGAGAGGAACAUCAGCGGCGAAAGCGACUUUCUGGACUCAUUCUGACGCUGAGGUGCGAAAGCUGGGGGAGCAAACAGGAUUAGAUACCCUGGUAGUCCCAGCCAUAAACGGUGUUCACUUGGUGUUAGGAGAUUUGACCCUUCUAGUGCCGGAGCUAACGCGUUAAGUGAACCGCCUGGGGAGUACGGCCGCAAGGUUAAAACUCAAAGGAAUUGACGGGGGCCCGCACAAGCGGUGGAGCAUGUGGCUUAAUUCGAUGCAACGCGAAGAACCUUACCAAGGCUUGACAUGCCGGGAUUAAUCUGCUGAAAGGUAGAGGAUUGCCGCAAGGCGUAACCGGCACAGGUGCUGCAUGGCUGUCGUCAGCUCGUGUCGUGAGAUGUUGGGUUAAGUCCCGCAACGAGCGCAACCCUUGCACUUAGUUGCCACUUCCGGUUUACCGGGAAGCACUCUAGGUGGACUGCCCUGUUCAACAGGUGAGGAAGGUGGGGAUGACGUCAAGUCAGGAUGGCCCUUACGCCUUGGGCUGCACACGUGCUACAAUGGCCGGUACAGAAGGAUGCUAGACCGCGAGGUGGAGCAAAUCCUACAAAACCGGUCCCAGUCCGGAUCGGAGUCUGCAACCCGACUCCGUGAAGUUGGAAUCGCUAGUAAUGGCGUAUCAGCUACGACGCCGUGAAUACGUUCCCGGGCCUUGUACACACCGCCCGUCACAUCAGGGGAGUGGGUUGCAAAAGAAGUGGGUAGUCUAACCUUCGGGAGGGCACUCACCA
rnacentral:rRNA from 1 species